GUUCCCCUACGGGAGGCAGCAGUGGGGAAUAUUGGGCAAUGGGCGCAAGCCUGACCCAGCAACGCCGCGUGAAGGAAGAAGGCUUUCGGGUUGUAAACUUCUUUUCUCAGGGACGAAGCAAGUGACGGUACCUGAGGAAUAAGCCACGGCUAACUACGUGCCAGCAGCCGCGGUAAUACGUAGGUGGCAAGCGUUAUCCGGAUUUACUGGGCGUAAAGGGCGUGUAGGCGGGAAAGCAAGUCAAAUGUGACAACCAUGGGCUCAACCUGUGGCCUGCAUUUGAAACUGUUUUUCUU
rnacentral:rRNA from 1 species